UACGUAGGUGGCAAGCGUUGUCCGGAUUUAUUGGGCGUAAAGCGAGCGCAGGCGGAAAGAUAAGUCUGAUGUGAAAGCCCCCGGCUUAACCCAUGAACUGCUAUUGAAACUGCACAGCUUGAGUGAAGUAGAGGUAGGCGGAAUUCCCGGUGUAGCGGUGAAAUGCGUAGAGAUCGGGAGGAACACCAGUGGCGAAGGCGGCCUACUGGGCUUUAACUGACGCUGAGGCACGAAAGCGUGGGUAGCAAACAGG
rnacentral:rRNA from 1 species